GUUUUGUUUUGUGAAGACUGUGAAAAUCCUCACACCAAGUCAAGACUGUCUAAGAACCAUAAAACCAUGUCGUCGGAGAAUACCACAAGUUACCUACAUUCAUCCAAGAAAUAAGCAGUCAGUGCAAAGACCACAAGAAGAAGUUUGAACUUUACUGUUCUUUCCACGCCUGUCCAUGCUGUGUCCAGUGCAUAACCGAUGAACACCAGAAAUGUCAAGACAUUAAACACUUGUCUGAUAUCCUAAAGGAAGUAAAAUCAUCUGCCUCAGUUCAACAUUUUGGAAAAGAUUUAAAGGAUGUGAAGGAAAACUUAGAAACAGCCA
rnacentral:lncRNA from 1 species